rnacentral:rRNA from 1 species
GACGAACGCUGGCGGCGUGCCUAAUACAUGCAAGUCGAGCGAAGUUUUUCUGGUGCUUGCACUAGAAAAACUUAGCGGCGAACGGGUGAGUAACACGUAAAGAACCUGCCUCAUAGACGGGGACAACUAUUGGAAACGAUAGCUAAUACCGGAUAACAGCAUAAAUCGCAUGAUAUAUGUUUGAAAGUUGGUUUCGGCUAACACUAUGAGAUGGCUUUGCGGUGCAUUAGCUAGUUGGUGGGGUAAAGGCCUACCAAGGCGACGAUGCAUAGCCGACCUGAGAGGGUGAUCGGCCACACUGGGACUGAGACACGGCCCAGACUCCUACGGGAGGCAGCAGUAGGGAAUCUUCCGCAAUGGGCGAAAGCCUGACGGAGCAACGCCGCGUGAGUGAAGAAGGAUUUCGGUUCGUAAGGCUCUGUUGUUAGGGAAGAAUGAUUGUAUAGUAACUAUAUACAGUAGAGACGGUACCUAACCAGAAAGCCACGGCUAACUACGUGCCAGCAGCCGCGGUAAUACGUAGGUGGCAAGCGUUGUCCGGAAUUAUUGGGCGUAAAGCGCGCGCAGGUGGUUUAAUAAGUCUGAUGUGAAAGCCCACGGCUCAACCGUGGAGGGUCAUUGGAAACUGUUAAACUUGAGUGCAGGAGAGAAAAGUGGAAUUCCUAGUGUAGCGGUGAAAUGCGUAGAGAUUAGGAGGAACACCAGUGGCGAAGGCGGCUUUUUGGCCUGUAACUGACACUGAGGCGCGAAAGCGUGGGGAGCAAACAGG